rnacentral:rRNA from 1 species
CGGACGGGUGAGUAAUGUCUGGGAAACCGCCUGAUGGAGGGGGAUAACUGCUGGAAACGGUAGCUAAUACCGCAUAACGUCGCAAGACCAAAGAGGGGGACCUUCGGGCCUCUUGCCAUCGGAUGUGCCCAGAUGGGAUUAGCUAGUAGGUGGGGUAACGGCUCACCUAGGCGACGAUCCCUAGCUGGUCUGAGAGGAUGACCAGCCACACUGGAACUGAGACACGGUCCAG